AUUGAACGCUGGCGGCAGGCCUAACACAUGCAAGUCGAGCGAGCGGCGGACGGGUGAGUAAUGUCUGGGAACCUGCCUGCUGGAGGGGGAUAACUACUGGAAACGGUAGCUAAUACCGCAUCUCAUCAGAUGUGCCCAGAUGGGAUUAGCUAGUGGGUGGGGUAAUGGCUCACCUAGGCGACGAUCCCUAGCUGGGCUGAGAGGAUGACCAGCGAGACGGGAACUGAGACACGGUCCAGACUCCUACGGGAGGCAGCAGUGGGGAAUAUUGCACAAUGGGCGCAAGCCUGAUGCAGCCAUGCCGCGUGUGUGAAGAAGGCCUUCGGGUUGUAAAGCACUUUCAGCGGGGAGGCGUUACCCGCAGAAGAAGCACCGGCUAACUCCGUGCCAGCAGCCGCGGUAAUAC
rnacentral:rRNA from 1 species